rnacentral:RNase_P_RNA from 1 species
CCAGUUGGCCGGGCAGCCGCGCUUUACCAAUGCCGAAAGGCGGUAGGGUGAGGAAAGUCCGGGCUCCACGGAAACACGGUGCCGGAUAACGUCCGGCGGGGGCGACCCCAGGGAAAGUGCCACAGAAAGCAAACCGCCUCGCUAUAUGCGGGGUAAGGGUGAAAGGGUGGGGUAAGAGCCCACCGCGCUUCUGGUGACAGCGGCGGCAAGGUAAACCCCACCGGGAGCAAGACCGAAUAGGGAUGACGCGGGGCGCGCAAGUGCCUACAGCCUGUUUCUGGGCCAGUCAUCCGGGUGGGUUGCGCGAGGCGAUGUGCAAGCAUCGUCCCAGAUGAAUGGCUGCCACGUUCCGGUGCUCGCACCGGGGCCAUACAGAACCCGGCUUACAGGCCAACUGGCGAA